UGGGGAAUCUUGGACAAUGGGGGCAACCCUGAUCCAGCCAUGCCGCGUGAGUGAUGAAGGCCUUAGGGUCGUAAAGCUCUUUCGCCUGUGAAGAUAAUGACGGUAGCAGGUAAAGAAACCCCGGCUAACUCCGUGCCAGCAGCCGCGGUAAUACGGAGGGGGUUAGCGUUGUUCGGAAUUACUGGGCGUAAAGCGCACGUAGGCGGACCAGAAAGUUGGGGGUGAAAUCCCGGGGGCUCAACCCCGGAACUGCCUCCAAAACUAUUGGUCUAGAGUUCGAGAGAGGUGAGUGGAAUUCCAAGUGUAGAGGUGAAAUUCGUAGAUAUUUGGAGGAACACCAGUGGCGAAGGCGGCUCACUGGCUCGAUACUGACGCUGAGGUGCGAAAAGUGUGGGGAGCAAACAGGAUUAGAUACCCUGGUAGUCCAC
rnacentral:rRNA from 1 species